rnacentral:tRNA from 2 species
GGAAGGGUGGCAGAGUGGUCGAUUGCACUGGUCUUGAAAACCAGCGACGGGCAACCGUCCGUGGGUUCGAAUCCCACCCCUUCCGCCA